ensembl:lncRNA
CUUUUGCGCAAGUGGCAACAAGCGGUUCUACCUUAUUCUUUGCUUGGCACUUUGGGUUUAUCUCAUGCUAUUACACCUGUAUGAGCAUAUUAUUUCACAAACAACAGUCCUCAGUUUCCUCACCUGUCAUUGAAGAAGAGAGGGUUCAGUUUCCCAGUUUCCCAGCUGUUGUGAAGAUGAAAGGGCCUGGUGUCUAGUGUCUGCUGGUUUCCUUGUGGGAGGCAGAGCAGCUCCAAAGAAACACUACCGGGUAUAGUAGACUGCACCCUCAUCAUCCUUUAGCUUUCCCAGGGCUGCUGCACAGGGCAGGCAGCAAUGCACGGGGCCGGCCUGUGUGAGUUGAGGCCAGCUGUGUAGACACAGCCCAGAAGGAGAGCAGGCAUGGCAUCUGGCUUUGGGAAGUCAACAAAGGAAAGUAAGAGACGCUGGUUAUGAGUUUGACUGGAGGAAGGUUGGCUGAAUAAGGACAGUGUAACCCAUUGGGGAAGUGUGAUUGGGCUGAGGCAACCGAGAGGGAAAGAGGGGCCAAGAUAAAGUAGAAAGCAUAGCCAGGCAGGCAAACAAUCCCUUCUAGCAGGUAGAGUGUCCCACUUCCUUUCACUCUGGAAAAGCUCUGGGAACUGCAGUCAGGGACAUAACUUACUACCGUUUUCCACAGCCUGAGCUCGUGGGAAUAUGUUCUUUCCCAAGGGGGGUGUUUCUAUGAUGAGCCAUUCUUUUCUGAUCUGUUUAGGUAGUCUUGCCUCUAACUCCCCUCAACAGGGAAAGUUCAUUGUCAGGAACCUUCUGCUUCUUUUUGGAUUGUUUGAGCCCCUCUGUGUGCCCCCUUGUCUUCUCUAGCUUCAUUCUAAGGAAGAGUUGGGUCCCCACAAAACUCAUUCUCACCUCACUGCUCUAUCGAAGUCCCUGAUGCCUUUCUUCCACUCCGUGUCUCCUUCCUUCCUCAAGAUACUGUGGGAGCUUGGGUGCAUUGGUGUGCUUUCUGUCACUAAUCACCCAAUACCAAAGACUAGGCGAAUUAUGAAGAAAAGAGGCCUAUUUUGGCAUACGGUUCCAGAGGUUCCAGUUUGAGGGUCCACCUAGUGAUGACCUUGCUGGCACAGCCCCAGAAGUCCUGUUGGGAGGCAUACUUUUCACCUCUGACAGAAUUAGCUGUGUUCCUUGGAGCCAUGGACAUCUUUCUGCUGUAGCAGCAACAGGAUCAAAGCACGUGUCAGAAAGAGAAGUGAAAAAACACCAGAUGUGAGCAAAACCACAGGGGGGGUUUUCAGCCAGCCAGCUUGCACCAGAUGACCCAGUUUGGAAUGUGGCCCAGGGCUGGGAUAGACUGGCCAACUAAGGAUGAGACUGGACACACAGCCAUUAUUGAUCCCAACGUGAGCCAAAUGUGGUUAACUUGGUCUAUGACCUUGCUCAAGUCAUUGACCUCUCCAUGACUUUCACCAUCUGUGAAACACAUGGGCUGCUCAUUUCCUCUCAGGAAAAACUUGUGGCAGGCCUUGUUAAUAACAAGAAGGAUGAACAAGACAGGAGCCGGUGAUCUGCAUGGUGGCGGCAUACUGUAUUGGAGCAUGUACAUGCCAUGACAUAGAUGGAGUGCAGGUACAUAUUUUAUGAGAAAACUGUGUAUGAAAACCUAGGCUUAAAGACUGUACCACAUCAGUUCAAAAGCAAAUAAUAUUGACCACCGAAGGGUGUGACGGGACUUUCUUUUUUCUUUGCCCAUGGCUCUUUUGAAAUCCUGGGGUCAGACUAAAGCCCCUGCCAGGCACAUACUUAAGGAUUUAAAUGUUAGUAGAGAAUGGAGCUUACUCCAAGUUCCCACUCUUUUCCACAUA